AGAACAAAUGUAAAAGUUAAAGACGC
rnacentral:piRNA from 1 species